UUAAGCGACUAAGCGUACACGGUGGAUGCCCUGGCAGUCAGAGGCGAUGAAGGACGUGCUAAUCUGCGAUAAGCGUCGGUAAGGUGAUAUGAACCGUUAUAACCGGCGAUUUCCGAAUGGGGAAACCCAGUGUGUUUCGACACACUAUCAUUAACUGAAUCCAUAGGUUAAUGAGGCGAACCGGGGGAACUGAAACAUCUAAGUACCCCGAGGAAAAGAAAUCAACCGAGAUUCCCCCAGUAGCGGCGAGCGAACGGGGAGGAGCCCAGAGCCUGAAUCAGUGUGUGUGUUAGUGGAAGCGUCUGGAAAGGCGCGCGAUACAGGGUGACAGCCCCGUACACAAAAAUGCACAUGCUGUGAGCUCGAUGAGUAGGGCGGGACACGUGGUAUCCUGUCUGAAUAUGGGGGGACCAUCCUCCAAGGCUAAAUACUCCUGACUGACCGAUAGUGAACCAGUACCGUGAGGGAAAGGCGAAAAGAACCCCGGCGAGGGGAGUGAAAAAGAACCUGAAACCGUGUACGUACAAGCAGUGGGAGCAUGCUUAGGCGUGUGACUGCGUACCUUUUGUAUAAUGGGUCAGCGACUUAUAUUCUGUAGCAAGGUUAACCGAAUAGGGGAGCCGAAGGGAAACCGAGUCUUAACUGGGCGUUAAGUUGCAGGGUAUAGACCCGAAACCCGGUGAUCUAGCCAUGGGCAGGUUGAAGGUUGGGUAACACUAACUGGAGGACCGAACCGACUAAUGUUGAAAAAUUAGCGGAUGACUUGUGGCUGGGGGUGAAAGGCCAAUCAAACCGGGAGAUAGCUGGUUCUCCCCGAAAGCUAUUUAGGUAGCGCCUCGUGAACUCAUCUCCGGGGGUAGAGCACUGUUUCGGCAAGGGGGUCAUCCCGACUUACCAACCCGAUGCAAACUGCGAAUACCGGAGAAUGUUAUCACGGGAGACACACGGCGGGUGCUAACGUCCGUCGUGAAGAGGGAAACAACCCAGACCGCCAGCUAAGGUCCCAAAGUCAUGGUUAAGUGGGAAACGAUGUGGGAAGGCCCAGACAGCCAGGAUGUUGGCUUAGAAGCAGCCAUCAUUUAAAGAAAGCGUAAUAGCUCACUGGUCGAGUCGGCCUGCGCGGAAGAUGUAACGGGGCUAAACCAUGCACCGAAGCUGCGGCAGCGACGCUUAUGCGUUGUUGGGUAGGGGAGCGUUCUGUAAGCCUGUGAAGGUGUACUGUGAGGUAUGCUGGAGGUAUCAGAAGUGCGAAUGCUGACAUAAGUAACGAUAAAGCGGGUGAAAAGCCCGCUCGCCGGAAGACCAAGGGUUCCUGUCCAACGUUAAUCGGGGCAGGGUGAGUCGACCCCUAAGGCGAGGCCGAAAGGCGUAGUCGAUGGGAAACAGGUUAAUAUUCCUGUACUUGGUGUUACUGCGAAGGGGGGACGGAGAAGGCUAUGUUGGCCGGGCGACGGUUGUCCCGGUUUAAGCGUGUAGGCUGGUUUUCCAGGCAAAUCCGGAAAAUCAAGGCUGAGGCGUGAUGACGAGGCACUACGGUGCUGAAGCAACAAAUGCCCUGCUUCCAGGAAAAGCCUCUAAGCAUCAGGUAACAUCAAAUCGUACCCCAAACCGACACAGGUGGUCAGGUAGAGAAUACCAAGGCGCUUGAGAGAACUCGGGUGAAGGAACUAGGCAAAAUGGUGCCGUAACUUCGGGAGAAGGCACGCUGAUAUGUAGGUGAAGUCCCUCGCGGAUGGAGCUGAAAUCAGUCGAAGAUACCAGCUGGCUGCAACUGUUUAUUAAAAACACAGCACUGUGCAAACACGAAAGUGGACGUAUACGGUGUGACGCCUGCCCGGUGCCGGAAGGUUAAUUGAUGGGGUUAGCNGCGAAGCUCUUGAUCGAAGCCCCGGUAAACGGCGGCCGUAACUAUAACGGUCCUAAGGUAGCGAAAUUCCUUGUCGGGUAAGUUCCGACCUGCACGAAUGGCGUAAUGAUGGCCAGGCUGUCUCCACCCGAGACUCAGUGAAAUUGAACUCGCUGUGAAGAUGCAGUGUACCCGCGGCAAGACGGAAAGACCCCGUGAACCUUUACUAUAGCUUGACACUGAACAUUGAGCCUUGAUGUGUAGGAUAGGUGGGAGGCUUUGAAGUGUGGACGCCAGUCUGCAUGGAGCCGACCUUGAAAUACCACCCUUUAAUGUUUGAUGUUCUAACGUUGACCCGUAAUCCGGGUUGCGGACAGUGUCUGGUGGGUAGUUUGACUGGGGCGGUCUCCUCCUAAAGAGUAACGGAGGAGCACGAAGGUUGGCUAAUCCUGGUCGGACAUCAGGAGGUUAGUGCAAUGGCAUAAGCCAGCUUGACUGCGAGCGUGACGGCGCGAGCAGGUGCGAAAGCAGGUCAUAGUGAUCCGGUGGUUCUGAAUGGAAGGGCCAUCGCUCAACGGAUAAAAGGUACUCCGGGGAUAACAGGCUGAUACCGCCCAAGAGUUCAUAUCGACGGCGGUGUUUGGCACCUCGAUGUCGGCUCAUCACAUCCUGGGGCUGAAGUAGGUCCCAAGGGUAUGGCUGUUCGCCAUUUAAAGUGGUACGCGAGCUGGGUUUAGAACGUCGUGAGACAGUUCGGUCCCUAUCUGCCGUGGGCGCUGGAGAACUGAGGGGGGCUGCUCCUAGUACGAGAGGACCGGAGUGGACGCAUCACUGGUGUUCGGGUUGUCAUGCCAAUGGCACUGCCCGGUAGCUAAAUGCGGAAGAGAUAAGUGCUGAAAGCAUCUAAGCACGAAACUUGCCCCGAGAUGAGUUCUCCCUGACNNNNNNNNNNNNNNNNNNNNNNNNNNNNNNNNNNNNNNNNNNNNNNNNNNNNNNNNNNNNNNNUGAGAGAAGAUUUUCAGCCUGAUACAGAUUAAAUCAGAACGCAGAAGCGGUCUGAUAAAACAGAAUUUGCCUGGCGGCCGUAGCGCGGUGGUCCCACCUGACCCCAUGCCGAACUCAGAAGUGAAACGCCGUAGCGCCGAUGGUAGUGUGGGGUCUCCCCAUGCGAGAGUAGGGAACUGCCAGGCAUCAAAUU
rnacentral:rRNA from 1 species